rnacentral:tRNA from 2 species
GGCGAGGUAGCUCAGGUGGUCAGAGCGUCGGAUUCAUAACCCGGAGGUCGGGAGUUCAAGUCUCCCCCUCGCUACUA